UGCGUAGGCGGAACAUUAAGUCAGUGGUGAAAUCUUUCAGCUUAACUGGAAAACUGCCAUUGAUACUGCUGUUCUUGAGUUCAGUUGAGGUGGGCGGAAUGUGUAAUGUAGCGGUGAAAUGCUUAGAUAUUACACAGAACACCGAUUGCGAAGGCAGCUCACUAAACUGUUACUGACGCUGAGGCACGAAAGCGUGGGGAGCGAACAGGAUUAGAUACCCUGGUAGUCC
rnacentral:rRNA from 1 species